rnacentral:pre_miRNA from 1 species
UCUUCAUUUCACACACACUCUCACAGUUCAGAGAGGCGAGAGAGUGUGCGAAAUGAUGAGA